rnacentral:rRNA from 1 species
CGUCAGUCUUUGUCCAGGGGGCCGCCUUCGCCACCGGUAUUCCUCCAGAUCUCUACGCAUUUCACCGCUACACCUGGAAUUCUACCCCCCUCUACAAGACUCAAGCUUGCCAGUUUCAAAUGCAGUUCCCAGGUUGAGCCCGGGGAUUUCACAUCUGACUUAACAAACCGCCUGCGUGCGCUUUACGCCCAGUAAUUCCGAUUAACGCUUGCACCCUCCGUAUUACCGCGGCUGCUGGCACGGAGUUAGCCGGUGCUUCUUCUGCGAGUAACGUCAAUCGCUAAGGUUAUUAACCUUAACGCCUUCCUCCUCGCUGAAAGUACUUUACAACCCGAAGGCCUUCUUCAUACACGCGGCAUGGCUGCAUCAGGCUUGCGCCCAUUGUGCAAUAUUCCCCACUGCUGCCUCCCGUAGGAGUCUGGACCGUGUCUCAGUUCCAGUGUGGCUGGUCAUCCUCUCAGACCAGCUAGGGAUCGUCGCCUAGGUGAGCCAUUACCCCACCUACUA